rnacentral:lncRNA from 1 species
CUUUCUUCCUCCCUCAAAUAUAUUUAGAACACCUGCCAUAAAGCAUUGUUCUUGACACUGAGAGCAAUGAAAAGAAACAGAUGAAAACUGUUGCCCAGAUGAAUGCUUAUUCCAGUGGGAUAAAACGGAAACCUCAGGAGAGCAGGAAUCCACAGCACAUGGUUUUCCUGUGGACUACAGUUACAUUGUGGGUAUUUGUUAGGUAGUAAUUAUGUGUAUUAAUCUGGGGGAGAGAAAAUUUGCAAAUGUUUUAUUUCUUUUGCUUUCUUUGGUGCCACCCUUUUCAUUAAUUUUUAAAGGAAAACCACUGAAUUCGUUCUGACUCUCACUUAGGGUUCCCUUCCUGUGGGCGGGUGCACAUCCAGCUGAUUGCCUACGGAGGAGGAGAUCCUGGGGGCAGGAAGGAGGUCAUGCCCAACCUCUCUCCAGCAGGAAGCUCCACAGAGGGACCCGGUGCGCUGGCCGCGGGGCUAUGAAAUGCAGUGAUGCAUAGUGAAAAUAUGAGGGGCAGAGCUUCACGCUGCUGUCGAGAAAUGAUCUUCUGAUGCAUCAGAGUCACAAAACCGAAUCAAGGAAGCCAAGGGUGGAGGCUGCAUGUAUCGUAAUUCUCGAAACACUGAAUGCCAGUGAAGGAUUAAGGAACUGGCCUCUGCCACGUCCCCUGGAACAUCAGCGGGAAUAUGUAACAAAAGAUUUUUGUAGGCAGAGACUCGUGUUUGAGAAGCAUGGUGGAGCGUUCUGCACAAAACUCCUGAGAUACAGCCAAAAAAAGAGCUCCUGAAUGAUUGAGCCCUGGCCGGGAGAUGGGAAAUUUGGCACCUGACUUAAUAGGAUCCAAUAGUUAUCUAACCAUGGGAUGUAUCUGUGGCUUUCAGGAGGGAGCUUUUGGGACCUCGGGGUGAUGUCUGUGCUGGGAAGAAGUUUUGUCUUUGAGCCCAUGUGUUUCUAAGCAAUAAUGUUCUCUUCUGUGGAAUAAAUGUUCCUGAGCACUAGUGUGAACAUAUAAU